rnacentral:rRNA from 1 species
AUUGAACGCUGGCGGCAUGCUUUACACAUGCAAGUCGAACGGUAACAGGGUGCUUGCACCGCUGACGAGUGGCGAACGGGUGAGUAAUGCGUCGGAACGUGCCGAGUAGUGGGGGAUAACGCAGCGAAAGUUGUGCUAAUACCGCAUACGUACUGAGGUAGAAAGUGGGGGACCUUCGGGCCUCACGCUAUUCGAGCGGCCGACGUCUGAUUAGCUAGUAGGUGAGGUAAAGGCUCACCUAGGCGACGAUCAGUAGCGGGUCUGAGAGGAUGAUCCGCCACACUGGGACUGAGACACGGCCCAGACUCCUACGGGAGGCAGCAGUGGGGAAUUUUGGACAAUGGGCGAAAGCCUGAUCCAGCCAUGCCGCGUGUCUGAAGGAGGCCUUCGGGUUGUAAAGGACUUUUGUCAGGGAGGAAAUCCCUAGUGCUAAUAACACUGGGGGAUGACAGUACCUGAAGAAUAAGCACCGGCUAACUACGUGCCAGCCGCCGCAGUAAAAC